ACCUCCCUGGGGUAGUUCAGUCGGUAGAGCAGUAGAUUUUUAAUCUCAGGGUCAUGGAUUUGAGCCCCCUGUUGGGCA